GUUCUGGACUGAACACACGGCCAAGGAAAAGCCUUGAGAGGUGCUGUAUAUAAUAAGAAAGCACAAAGUCAUAAGACCUGGGUGAGAAAAUGAUUUAAGAAGAAAAGGAUGUCACAAAAUCUAUAGCGUGCAGAUGAAGAACCCGAAGCACAAGAGCUGGAGUUUGAAGACGUUCAAUGGUGACAGCUCGUGGUGUUCUGUUGAGUCUGGGGACUGUUGGGACAUCCUGGCUUGGCUGUCACCCACCGCCCAUGUCCUGCCAUGCCAACAACCUGCUGAACGUAGCACGGCUGUGUAUCGAGGAGCUGCCCAGGUCUUACAUCUUAUUUGACAAGGAUAAAAAAAAAAACAAACCAGCAGGCUGGCAAGGAGGCAGGAGAGAGCUGUUCACCGACUGGCAGAGGGGGUGGCAGAACUUCAGGGUCCCGGAGGGGCUGUGCUGGGGCAGCUGCUUGGUUUACAAGAAGAAAAGCCCCGAGCGCAGCACCGGGCCGAGCCGAGGGCUUAUGUAAGAGCUGGCAGCGGGGCCGGCGGUGCGGAA